UACGUAGGGGGCAAGCGUUGUCCGGAUUUAUUGGGCGUAAAGCGCUCGCAGGUGGUUCAUUGCGUCGUGCGUGAAAGACCCCGGCUCAACUGGGGAGGGUCGUGCGAAACGGGUGAACUAGAGGCCAGUAGGGGGAUGCGGAAUUCCUGGUGUAGCGGUGAAAUGCGUAGAGAUCAGGAAGAACACCGGUGGCGAAGGCGCUCUGCUAGGCCGCAACUGACACUGAGGGACGAAAGCUAGGGGAGCGAAUGGG
rnacentral:rRNA from 1 species